rnacentral:pre_miRNA from 1 species
AAUUUCAGCUGAAAAAGUCAUGAACAUAAAAGUUGUAGAACUCAUCAAGACAUACAACUUUUAUUUUGGUCAUUUCUUCAUCCGACAAAGUGAUAGUAAUAUUGUUCACAAAAUUUACAUCUCUCUCUAAUAGUUUAUAAAACCAAAUGAGAGAUGUAAAUUUUAUAAACAAUGUUACUAUCACUUUAUCGGAUGAAGAAAUGACCAAAAUAAAAGUUAUAGAUCUUGAUGAGUUAUACAACUUUGUUGUUGAUGAUUUUUUUCAAUUGAAAUC